CCUUCAGUACCUGCGGAUUUCGAAGGAGCGACGGUCCGAAAGCCUCGUGUCUUCGCGUCUAGGUUUUUACUGAUUUCCUUUCCGGUUUCGUUGCCGAUCUGUCCGAAUCGGUUCUCGGUUGUCUCUCCGUUGCCGAUUGACGUCCGAUCUGCAGCUUCCGUUUCGUGUUCUGUCUCAUAUACUUUUAGAUUGCAACUAGGUUCCUAGAUGAUCUGCUGUUGACCGGAGGGAAAAGGAAAAAAAAGAAGAAGGAAAAGUGGGGUCGGGCUAUUGGUUAGGUUCCUGUCGUAGAAUUGUGUGAUUUUUAUGAUUGGGUUUUGAAAGGGUGAUCCGUUCAAUUAUUUCAUUUUUGCUGUCGGUUUGGGGGAUCGUGGGUUAUUUUUUGUGUGUUGAGACGUCGGUGUGGGUUUUUGAUAAAGGGGGUUGUGGUUGCAAACAAUAUGGCAACAGGGAAAUCCCGUGUCUCUAGGAGAUUGGAUUGUUCCUCUUCCUCCAGAAGGGAUGGUCGCGAUUUGGUCCGCGCAACUUGUCGCAGCGAAUUUAGCCUGCACCGUGGCCAUGUGGCUAAGCGGAAUGAUGGGCGCAAGAUGGAGUCCAAGAAUCGAGAUAAGGAGCAUCAGCUUGUUGAGGUGCAGAGUGGUGCCAAAUUGUACCGAGAUGGUGUCCAGCCUCCCCCUGAGAAGAAGAGGAAGUUCUCCCCGAUUUUAUGGGACGUCAAGGACAGGGAAAUCAGGAUAUCGUCCAAGAACAGAGUGGUUUCAGCUAGCACUAUUUUAAGCCCUCCCAUGGCUCCAUCUACAAUGUCAUCGAAUGAUGAGUCAGGUGGCUGUGUUUUGAACUCCUCUAUCUCAUUGGAUCAGGUACAUGGAUCUGAUCUUCCUAUGGGUGAUCAAUCUAUAUCUAUGAAUGGGUCUGGAUGCAAGGCUCUGGCAUUGCAUCAGGAGCAAAGUGAGGGUGGUGAUCAAGAUGACAGUAUGGUCGAGGAUGGAGAAUUUGUUCAUGAGAGAAACAUCUCAAUGUCACGAUGGGCAUCCGAUAGUGAUUCACCGAGACUUAUCUGUGCAUCCGACGAUGAAGAAAUGACUCUGGAUAAUAGAGCAUUGGUCACAAAUAGGUCAAGUCCAGAGAGUGGGGAGUUUCUGCCAGGAGGCUCGGUUCAUCGGACCAGGUCCUCUGGAUCUGAUGAGAUUGGGCUGGCUGGUAGAGCAAGUGUAGGUGAAUCUGAAGAUGGUGGUGAAGCUGUCGUCAUGGAUGUUGACCACACUUAUCUUAGCAAUGCAGACAACAACCAGGAUGACACCGAUGAUGAGAGCAAUAGAGAGCAUCAAGUGUUUGAAGCGUCCUCGUUGCCUGCAAGACGAAGUAUAAACAUGCUUGAUUCUUGCAGAAGUGUCUUCGAAUAUGAAAGACUGAACAAGAUCAAUGAAGGCACUUAUGGUGUUGUCUACCGUGCAAGGGAUAAGAAAACGGGGGAAAUAGUGGCAUUGAAGAAGGUGAAGAUGAACAAACAGGACUCUGACGGCGGCUUUCCCCUAACAUCAUUGAGAGAGAUAAACAUUUUACUGUCUUUAAAUCACCCUUCUGUUGUAGGUGUUAAAGAAGUCGUUAUGGGUGAUGCUGAUAGUAUAUUUAUGGUCAUGGAGUACAUGGAACACGAUCUCAAGGGGCUGAUGGAAACAAGGAAGCGUCCUUUCAGUACAAGUGAAGUCAAAUGCCUGAUGCUUCAGCUAUUGGAGGGUGUCAAGUAUCUCCAUGAUAAUUGGGUGCUUCAUCGGGAUUUUAAGACAUCGAAUCUUCUUUUAAACAACAAGGGAGAGCUAAAAAUAUGUGACUUUGGGUUGUCAAGACAGUAUGGGAGCCCAUUGAAGCCAUAUACUCCUCUGGUUGUUACCAUGUGGUACAGGGCACCCGAACUUUUAUUGGGAGCAAAACAGUACUCAACAGCAAUUGAUAUGUGGUCAAUAGGGUGUAUUAUGGCUGAAAUGUUGGCCAGUGAACCGCUAUUCAAGGGAAAUAGUGAAGUCAAUCAGCUUGACAAGAUUUUCAGGACUCUUGGCACACCCAGUGAGAAAAUAUGGCCUGGAUUCUCUGAAUUGCCUGGUUCAAAAGCAAACUUUGUUAAACAACCGUAUAAUUUGUUGCGAAAGAAGUUUCCAGCUGCAUCUUUUACUGGAACUACUGUUCUUUCCGAAUCGGGGUUUGACUUGCUGAACAGGCUUCUGACAUAUGACCCAGAGAUGAGAAUAACAGCAGAUGAAGCCCUUGAACAUGAUUGGUUUUGUGAAGUUCCACUGCCUACUUCUAAGGAUUUCAUGCCGACAUUUCCCCCUCUGCAUACUGUUGUUAGAUGAUUGCCUGCGGCCAGAUUGGAUUUUUGGACGAAGAAUUUAACCUGCCAUUGCUCCCUGGAACAAUUUGAUUUGUUUGUGAUGGAUGUCUUUUUAAACCUCCUGCUUUGAUUUUUAGGCAUCCAGAAAGAUUAUCUCGCUGCAGGAAGAGUAACUGCAGGAAUGCAUAAUUGCAUUUUCUGUCCUUGGCAGGAACCUAGAGGAAUUGUUGAUGGUAGUAACAGUGGGAAACUGCUCCGGUCGAACAAUUUACUACUAUUACAUCUUCACACCUCCCUUGAGUUUGCAAGGGGGCUCUUUUUGUACUUAUGCUUCUAGAAGAUCCACUGGAUGGUGGCUUUGGGAGUGCAGGGAUUCUUCAAUUUAAUGCCUCUGAAAGAGUGGAAAGCUUAUUUUUGCGAUGUCUUCUUGUUAUACCGUUAGUUUCUUUUUGGGUGUGGUUUACAAUAUUCUUUUUAUUGCUGUGAUGAAGGUAGUCAAUUGGCCUGCAAUUGAUGGAGCAGUUUCAUCUUUGACAGCACUAGUUGGAUGGCGUGCUUCUUUUCUCAAACCUGCGUUUAUCAGGGGGUCUUAGUCUUUAAUUCUUUUGGCAAUGCUUGCUUCAAUAAGUUUAUGUGUUAGAAGAUGUUGUUUCUGCCGUAUGUCUUUGCUGCUACAAAAUUCUUUGAAUAGAUCUUUUAUUCAUCUGUCUGUAUUGUUCUACAAUGACAGCUGACUUUCGCUAGAUCAACCUUUCCAGAACAACAGCCAUACAGGAUCACCUCCAUGUGAAUAUUCCAAUUCACCUGUCUGUUCUGCUCCUCGGGAAUUUAUCAAUUUAGCACAAAAAGUUUUCUUGCAUAUGAUGAAUUCUCUUCAUGUUAAGUCUACUGGGUUGUAUUGACAGAUGUAUAUGUUUAAGAAGGGCAUCUUAUGGAGCUGGUGCUGCUGCCAUAGUGCGAGGCGAGUGCUUCAAUCUCAACUUCAUUUUUUUCUCAUUGGUCUCGUUACUUGUUUCCUAGCAAUGUUUGUGUCAUACUACUCACAACAGAUAACCAGGAGAGCUGUUAAAUUCCAUUACUAGUAGUUUUUCUGGUAAUUUUUCCCAGACCGAGAUCAAGGAGAGAUGUAAAUCGCAUGUUGUCGCCAAGCAGUGCAGAACUGAGGUAGACUUGCCUAAUAUGCUUUGUUGAAUUUGGUGAGUUAAGCGUGUUGGUGUCGGAUAGUUGAGGCUGUCUACGUGGUUUUGUAUCCGGAAGUAACAGUUAUGUCUAACCCGCAUUGCACGCUCAUUGCUUUUUCCUUGGAAAAUUUUUAGUUAAGGGUGAUAAUUGGUUGGCUGGAAAAGUGAAUUGGUAAUGUGAGUUGGA